UAUAUAUUGAUGUGUUAUUUUUCGAYUCAUAAGGGCAAGUGGUUCACGGUCAUCUAAACAAGGUUCAAUGGAUGAUGAAGAUAAUAGUGAUGAAGGAGAUGAGGGUGACUACACAGUGUAUGAGUGCCCUGGGCUGGCUCCAACGGGUGAUAUGACAGUAGUCAACCCAUUAUUCAGCGAUCAGGAAGUCGUGGGCAGUGAUCAAGAUGCUAAUGGUAACCGUAGUGGCCAGAGCUCCCCUGGGACCUCUCGGCACAGCAGCACCACUAAACCUGAGUAACACUUUAUUUUGCCAGGGUUAAUUAAGGAGUAAUUAUUAGCUAUUAAUUAAUUUACCAAUAUACAAGAAUAUAUAUUACAAUAUCUCAUGAAUUGGACCAGUGACUAAUGGGAGGAUAGUUAUUUAUCUGUGUGGUAUUUUUUGGGUAAAAAUUCAAUGAUAAUCUUCAAGAAAAGAUUUCACAAAUUUAAAGAUUAAUUUUGAUAUUUUUGUUAAUGUUGUCUCAUUUGGUUCAGUUCGUUUUCUUUUUGAUCCAGUUUUUUGUAUUCUAUCUCUAAGAGAAAAAUAAUCUAUGGGAAAUUAUCUGUAUUCUUAAUAAAAAUUGACAAUAUAUUUAUUAUUGUCAACCAUCUUUUCUUAAUGAUAACAAAACUAACAACUGGGAAUGGAAUAUAAACAGAUCAAGCUCUAAAAACUCCUUCAAUAUGGAAUUGAUUAUAGGGAUAUUUAUUAGGGGAAUUUACGACUUGAUCAGCUUGACUAGAUUUAGUACUAAGUAUACUUCUCAAUUGUUGAUCAAGGUUUAGAAUCUCUCAAGAAACAAUUAACUUGAGUUAUGUUUUUGCAAUGAGAAUUUAAUACUUGAUCAAAAUGGUAGGUUUGAGUGACAGAUUCAAACUGAAAUUCACAGAUUCUAUUAUAAUGAAACAACAUUAUUUUUCCUAAUUUUGGGGAUGGUAUUUUUUACUUAAAUUUAGAUUAUAAUUAUAAUGAUUGUAUAUGAAUGUAGAGGGCCUUCAUGAAUUUGCUUCAUUGCUAUCAAAUGAUGAUUCCAAGUUGAUGCUGGAUUGAUAUAAGCAUAUAAAUAGAUAAACUUGUUUUACAAGGGUAGUAUGGUAUAAACAGACCUCUGGCCUUCUAUACAGGAACUAGACUUUUUAUGGCAUCAAGUCAUAACUGUCUGGAUUCCCCUGUACAUGAAUAUCUAAAUCCAUUGAGACAGCAUCUUCUCUUCCCACCUCCCUCCCUCCCUCAAAAUUAUCUUGCAGUGAUUCAGUAUCUGGAUGUUCCCCUUGAAGGGAUUGUGUAUCAUUCUCAGCAGAAAUCAAUCCAAUCUUGCCUUGGAAUCAUUGUUCAUCAAUGUCAAUUAUUAGCAAUUCAAAGAGAGGUCCUUGAGUAGAGAGGGGUGUUUUUAGAAGAGUUUUAAUCACAUAAGGUAAGAAGCUCAUACUGUAAACGUGCUCAUACUUGUGUAAUAGAAGUAGAUAUAUCUAGAUGUUAGUGGGUAAUAGAAAGUCUUUUCUAAGCUGCAAUUCAGGCAUUUUAUACUAUUUCUGCCUCGGCAAGUUGGCUUACAUUGUCAUGGUCAUAACAGUGACUCUAUACUCUGCUUUGUUCUGCUGUAACUUGACAAAUGCCAUAUUUGCAAAGUUCAAAUAUUUCUGGGCCAUAUUAGGAGUUUCGAGGUUGAGCAAAAGACUUGGUAGAGCUGGCAUUGCAAUGCUUUGUGAGUGUGUUUUAGGUUACAAAAUAUACAUCAUCUUAAAAAUAUGUUCCCUACAACAGCCCACAAUACACUUCAAUGCCAACUGAACCCAUUCUUUCCCUAAACCUUGGAGUGGGUAAUACUCUGCAUCUAUAUUCAAUAGAGUUAGAUAAAAAUGGUUGGGAGACCAAUAUAAAUCUGUUUAUCCAUGGGAGUAGCACAGAAAUGGUUCACUGUCAUUCACAAUUUAUUUAUGAUUUACCGGAGUUCUCCACUUGAUUUCACUUAUUUUUAGGGUGUGGUUUAAACAGUUUCUUUCCUAUCGUUAUUUCUGUCUCAUUUUAUACCACAAGUGCCUAGAGUAUAAAUGUGUGGCAUUUCUUUCUGCAAGGUUGUGUGAUAAGUUGCAGAAAGAUGUAUCUAAUAUUGGGUGCACCUAGAUUAAGGGAAAGUCUUCCAGUAUUGCAUUGGAAUAGGUGUUGUAUUCAUAGGAUUUUUCACUGCACAAUAGGUUACAUGGUAUAGGAUUUAGACCACACCCAGUAAGCCCAGUUAUCGUCUAAUUACAGGUAACUAUGGUGUGAUAAGACUGGUUGCACUUGCAAUUCAAGUGUAAUCAUAAACACAAGCUCAAACUUCCGUAAUGCUUGCAUAAUGCAAAUUAUGUUGCCGUUAUUCAUUGCAAGUGUUACAGGAAGUACCCUGCAUGCAAUUAUAGGAGCAUUGCCCAACUUGUAUGCAGAAUAUUUCCUGUGUAUACGAAUUAGAGUCGACUAACUACUAGGGCCAAGCCUUGUCUUUUUUUUAUGUUCCCUUUGCGCAAGGCCUUACAGCAAUUUCACAACAACCCCUCCAUCGAAACCUGUCAUUAAUUGAAAACUGGGCUUUAUUAAUGAUUAGCACCCCAUAUAUAUAGGUGCACGGUGUAUAUAGAAGAGACAAUAUAAUUCGUCUCUAUAGGACGAUAAUCAUUUUAACCAAGAUGAUAACAGAUUUAUUUAUCAGAAUUGUAUCGGUGGUAGGUAGAUGUUCAUUUCUCAGGUGUCUUGUUUUGUUCUCGUACAAUAUUUGUACAAAAAUAAAUGUUUUGUUCUCUGA